GGCUCAGAUUGAACGCUGGCGGCAUGCCUUACACAUGCAAGUCGAACGGCAGCGGACCUUCGGGUGCCGGCGAGUGGCGAACGGGUGAGUAAUAUAUCGGAACGUACCUUUCAGUGGGGGAUAACGUAGCGAAAGUUACGCUAAUACCGCAUAUUCUGUGAGCAGGAAAGCAGGGGGAUCGCAAGACCUUGCGCUGAUUGAGCGGCCGAUAUCAGAUUAGCUAGUUGGUGAGGUAAAGGCUCACCAAGGCGACGAUCUGUAGCGGGUCUGAGAGGAUGAUCCGCCACACUGGAACUGAGACACGGUCCAGACUCCUACGGGAGGCAGCAGUGGGGAAUUUUGGACAAUGGGCGCAAGCCUGAUCCAGCCAUGCCGCGUGAGUGAAGAAGGCCUUCGGGUUGUAAAGCUCUUUCGGCCGGGAAGAAAUCGCACAGGUUAAUACCCUGUGUGGAUGACGGUACCGGAAUAAGAAGCACCGGCUAACUACGUG
rnacentral:rRNA from 1 species